UCAGUACACCCCGAUGCAUACGCCGGAGUGCAUCACGUCGCGGCACAGAAUAAAAAAUCAAAAAUCACCCAAAAUAACACCGAAAUAAUCACGUUUCAGUAAAAAGAAAAUGCUGGGAAAAUUUUUCAGAUAUGUAGAAAAAAAAAUCGUGCUCGAGAGUUCGGUUUUCGAUUCGCUUCUUUGUCCGCCGCCAUAUUGGAUCCGGCGAUUUUGAGAAUGCAGCCGCGAUUAUAAAUUUGAAAAAAUGAGGGUAAACAAUUUCGGUCACCGACCAAAUCAUACUUCAAUGGUUAUUUUUCGCAACGAUAAAAGAGGUCAUCCACCCCGCGGUCGCGGCCGUGACCUCCACUGACAGCUUCCCAAAACAGACGCUAAGACAAAGAAUGUCCGGUCCUCGUGUCGCAGUCACUAUGUCCGGUGGUGUCCCAGUCUCGUGACUUCUCUGCUAUUGCUGUAAUGUCUACUUCCAGAAGAUAUCUCAAAAGGUUAUCGUAACGAAGAAGUGGAUUUAGCUGCGAAAAGAAAAAUAGACUUGACAUUCGCUGAAUACCCAUCCAACUCCUUAUAAAUUCAAUAAAAAGCAAUGGAAUUGACGACAUGAACGGAUACUUUAGUAUAAAAUAAGUUCUGGUAAAAACUUAUUCUAAAUACCACAUUUAUAUCGUGAAUAUUUUAAUGUUUUGUGACAGAUGAGCAGGGCCUGCUUUAGAAUUAAAGUCGCCCUGGGCGAGAAUCUACAACGCCUAACACAUAACGCGCCCCUUUACGUCCGUCGCCCUGGGCUGUCACUCCACCUCGCUAUACCCUAACGCCGGUAUUGUAGAAGCAUGAGGUUAGUAUGAAGGUGGGAAUUGAAACAAAGUUUUACUUUCUAUCCAGUUAUAGUGUUUACUAAAGGCGACCCUUUGUGUACACUAACGCCCUGAGUUUUAUGGUUACAUAGCAGUCCUUUUGUGGGGAUUUUUUACAAUAAGUCUACACUCAAGGACUCCCUUGGUUACCGUAUAACGAAGAAUCGAAAGACUUCUGUGGCAGUUAGCGUCUAAAUUUUAGUUAGAACUGAAUAUAGUUUGCAAUAUGCGAAUGAUUUUAAAAAGGACUAUUGAUAGAAAGUUGGGGAGGAAUUUAUUUCAGAAAAGCUUUUGUAUACUUAAAUACUAAACAUCUAUUCUUUCUAUCAUAUUUCUAGAUUGCACAUUUUUUUUAAUUUCGUGCCGCUAACCGACUAGAAUCUUUGUCAAUUCGUUAUCAGAAAUAUAAACUGUGUUGAAUUUUCAUUGGCUAUAAAAUAUUUAUUUAUUUAUCUUAUCUAUUUAUAUAUAUAUAUUGUUUACAAGCUCAAUAGCUUCUAGUAUUUUUAGUUCUUUAUUGUUUUGUUAAUUUCUGUGUUAUUUUUGUUUCUUUUUUAUUCUUUGUUUCUUUGUUGCGAUAGCUCUAACAAUAUUAGAGUUCUAAUAUUGUUGGAUAUAUUGUUUUCCUUUUAGCACCUUGCCCCCCUCAACUGGAACCCGUAGAUCCGAACUUGUGCGCAUUUGUCGUUCCGGAGACGCCAUCUUGCGAUCUAUCUGUCAAUUUUUCAAAACAACGUUUAGAAAUUAAUUUUCAAAAUAUGUUUGGCCAUAGAUUAAAAAUUAUUAAGUAAAAAACGUUUUUAUGAUAAUCUAUGACAGCCCUUUCGCAGUUUGCGCGUCUUCACACAAGUUUGGUGAUACGCGGGCGCAGUUUUGGCGGGAAAUCGUCGUCUUCUUCGUUUUUUUUUCGUUCAUUUAUUUGUAGUGUGCACAUCUUUUUUGUUAUUAUUUAUGUUUUUUUACUUUUUUAGUUUGAGUGUUAUAUAUUUACUUUUAAUAAAAUAAGCCUUUUCAAUAAAAAGAACUAGAAACAUCACAUGGUCGCAAUGUAGCAAAAUGAAAGUUUUUGUAAUAAUUUGAGAAGUAUAUUUUUAAAUGAAAAGUAUGUACUGCACUUUCCUAUGGCAACCUAAAACUAUAACUUGGUUCAAUAGUAAAUAACAUUUUUAUUAAUAUUGCUUAAAACAUUAUGCUAGUGGGUUAUCACUUAAAAAGUCGAUAUACACUAAAACCAUUUAUCCCUAUCUCUGUUCUUUUCCUAUGUCCCAAAAGUGGGGCAGAGGACGUCUACAGUACGCUGCCAGCUCGCUCUGUACUGGGCUCUGCGUUUGGUCUCGGACCAUGAUUUAUCCCUAUACUCUUAUAAUAAUAUACUUUUCAGAACAUCUCCAUUUGGUAUUUUCAUUAAUCUUAAUUUAAUUCUUAGAUUUAUUUAAAUAUAAAAAAUAAAUCAAACGCAUCAAAGUAAAUACUUGAUUAUGCUAUCAACUGUUUAAUAAAAGUAUUGUUUUUUAUGCUAUUAUCAAUUUGUUAAAAGAUAUCAAAAUAACGAUUUAAAUUACAACCAAACUAGUUCUCGUCCGCGAUUUUGUCCACGCAAAAUAAAAAAAAAAAACUUAGGAGCUGUUCUAUUCCGUGUUUCCACGCCUUUCUUUAAGAUCUGUUGAGCUGUUCGGGUUCCCUUAAAAAUCUAUCUAUAUAUAAACUUUUGCAUUUAUAAUAUGAUAGUAAGAAAGCAAGAUAAUCCAUAUACCAAUAGUAUAGAAGACUUUCAACAGACAAAAGUUAUUUUAAGCCACAAGCCUACAGCCCUUCUCGAGAUCUUGGAUUCAAAUUCUAAAAAUAAGCCUAGAGCUUACAUUAGUUUGAUAAUAUGAAAUAGCUAUGUUUAAAUUCUUAAAUGGAACUUCAUCUUAGUCCAUAAUUAUUCCACAUAAUUUAUAUUAUAAAGAUAAUAGUAACAAACUUGAAGACAGAAGACAGAAGAUAAGUUGGCGACAAAGCCGCCGGCAUGGUGAGGUAGUAGGUUGUAUAGUACUGCAUUACAACUAUUAGGGGAGACUGUAUAGCCUGCUAACUUUCCUGGCCGGCGGCGAAACGACCGAUAGAAGACUGCACGAAAAAAGAAAAAAGAAUACUUCGAGUUUUAAUUUAUUUUUCUACUAAUUGAUGUAAAAAAUACAAUUGGAAACCGUUUUUUAAUGUAUUUUAUGCUUAUAAGUUUUAGAUAUUAUAUAAUUCAUUUUUAAUAUAACAAUUACUAGUCAGUAUUUAGAAAUUUUAUUCUUUAAAGUUAGCUGU